UACGGAGGGAGCUAGCGUUAUUCGGAAUUACUGGGCGUAAAGCGCACGUAGGCGGCUUUGUAAGUAAGAGGUGAAAGCCCGGGGCUCAACCCCGGAAUUGCCUUUAAGACUGCAUCGCUAGAAUUGUGGAGAGGUAAGUGGAAUUCCGAGUGUAGAGGUGAAAUUCGUAGAUAUUCGGAAGAACACCAGUGGCGAAGGCGACUUACUGGACACAUAUUGACGCUGAGGUGCGAAAGCGUGGGGAGCAAACAGG
rnacentral:rRNA from 1 species